GUGCUCACUUCGGCAGCACGUAUACUCACAUUGGAAUAGUACAGAGAAGAUGAACAUGGCCCCUGUGCAAGGUUGAUGCACAAAUUCAUGAACGGUUCCAUUUUUUU
ensembl:snRNA U6 U6 spliceosomal RNA